rnacentral:lncRNA from 1 species
UAAGGCUGGGCAUCUUUAAGAAUGCAAAAUAACUCCUAUUACAUGCCUUUAAUGCACAUAUCAACUAUUGAAAUUUUAGAUAGAAAAUCUUUUCAAUUGAGAUAAAAGGCUCUCCAUCAAUUUAUAUAGUCAAAGACUGAUUUGUCUUUCCUUUAUUUUAUGUUAAUAAGCUUAAUCAUAGUUAUUGUUCAAUAAGCGUUGAAGAAUUGAUAAAGGAACUCUUUCUCUAGUUGUUCCCAUUUAUCAGUCUCUAACUUAGUGUACAAAUCAUACACAUUUUCUCUAAAAUACCUUAUAAAUUUUCAAUGAGAAGAUCCCCAUAAGAACCUACAUCAUUGCAAGUUUUGAUAAAGUAGGCAACAUGUUCUCUAAGGUUGAACUCUUCCAUUCAACUGUGAAAUUUUGGUAGUUGGUAACCUACUGACAUCAUCAUGUUUUUGAUCCUCUUCCUAUAAGGCUUUGAAUAUAAUAGUAGAUUUUGGGAGAAACCAUCAUAUUGAGUAUUUAUAUCAAUCCCUAUCAUAUGUGGUAUUGUUGCAUUGAUAAUGAAGCCAUAAAUAUCAUAGGGGAAGAAACUUCUUGUGCAC